rnacentral:rRNA from 1 species
AACGAACGCUGGCGGCAUGCCUAACACAUGCAAGUCGAACGAGACCUUCGGGUCUAGUGGCGCACGGGUGCGUAACGCGUGGGAACCUGCCCUUAGGUUCGGAAUAACUCCCCGAAAGGGGUGCUAAUACCGGAUAAUGUCUUCGGACCAAAGAUUUAUCGCCUUUGGAUGGGCCCGCGUUGGAUUAGCUAGUUGGUAGGGUAAAAGCCUACCAAGGCGACGAUCCAUAGCUGGUCUGAGAGGAUGAUCAGCCACACUGGGACUGAGACACGGCCCAGACUCCUACGGGAGGCAGCAGUGGGGAAUAUUGGGCAAUGGGCCAAAGCCUGAUCCCGCCAUGCCGGGUGAGUGAUGGAGGCCUUUGGGUUGUAAAGCUCUUUUACCCGGGAUGAUAAUGACAGUACCGGGAGAAUAAGCUCCGGCUAACUCCGUG